rnacentral:rRNA from 1 species
AAACACAGCUCUCUGCUAAAUCGAAAGAUGACGUAUAGGGGGUGACACCUGCCCGGUGCUGGAAGGUUAAGAGGAAGGGUGCAAGCUCUGAAUUGAAGCCCCAGUAAACGGCGGCCGUAACUAUAACGGUCCUAAGGUAGCGAAAUUCCUUGUCGAGUAAGUUCCGACCUGCACGAAUGGCGUAACGAUGGCCACACUGUCUCCUCCCGAGACUCAGCGAAGUUGAAGUGUUUGUGAGAAACCGCACACUGGGGCCGCCGCUCGAGAACAACCCCGAGAUUCCCCCGUCAUCGAGAGAUGAGGGCCUUCGUCUCCUGCAUGGCCUAGAGACCAAUCUGGCGACCUCUCUCCAAACCCGACUUCCCUGGCGCCCCGUCGACGCGGCC